AAUCCCAGCUCUGCCAAUUGCCUGCUGCGUGACCUUGGCGGCACAUUACUAGCAAGUCUACAGCACUCACCACUGCUGCGGAUCUAACAGGACAAAGACUGAGAAAAGGUCUUCAGACUUGGAAUCUCUACAUGGUGUGCACAGCACCAUACUAAGCAUUUGGAAGAAAGAAGUCACUGGAAAUGUCAAGAAGAGUGGUUUCUAUGGCAUGGAAAGAACAGAAGAACACUGGGCAGCUGGCCUGAUUUUUCAUACCCUUGGUAAAAUACAGGCCUUAGUCACUCCCCCCGCUCUACCCUGGACGCGCCAUCAUGCACUCAGGCUGCACUCUUCUAGUUCCUUCACCUCAUCCCAACUUUUCCUGACCUCUCAGUGACAUCCCAGCCACGAAGGUGAUGGAAUUCACAAGCAGCUACGAGGCAGGAGAGGAGGAGGAGGCUGAGAAGAGCUAGGACAGUUGGUCAUCCUGUGCCAUGCCAUUGGUGGAACCCAGAUUACAAAGCUGCACCAACUCACAAAGCCUUUCAGCUAAUGCAACUGUCUUCAAGCCGAAGAUCAUAAAAUACAGUGAUUGGAAAGAAAACUACUCAAACACAAGGAAAACCCAAAGUAAAUGAGUUAACUGUAACCAACCGAAGCAUGAAACAGUAGGGAAAAAUGGGCACCACAUGAAAGGAGAGUCCGGGAAGAUUUCUACUCAGACACUUGGCAGUCUGACAGGGGGAGAUGCAUGAAACCAAGCAAGCAAUGUAACUGCCAUCAAGAUCUGUAUUCUUUGGCUCUCGUGGCUGGGCGUGGACUAAGUCAUCAAAUUUAAUUCUGAAUAAUGAAGACAGGCAAUGGCAAAAGUUCACUUCCAUCAGCAAGGAUGUAGGUGAUCAGAAUCCCCUUGCUUCCACUGGCAAGUAUAAGAACAGAAGGAAAUCUUCAGACUUGGAGCUCGUUUGGGCAGGGAAUGUGUCCACCCAAGUGCUUUAGUACAGUGACUUUCACACACUCCAAGAGGCUCAGCAGUGGCAACGGCUGCAGGAGCAGCAGCUCAGCAUGACCAGCCAGGAAACCUGCAGCUGCAGUGGGG